AAAGCAAUCGGAAGUGGUUCCAAGAAAAGCCUCUAAGCUUCAGUCUAACGAGACCGUACCGCAAACCGACACAGGUGGGCGAGAUGAGUAUUCUAAGGCGCUUGAGAGAACUCGGGAGAAGGAACUCGGCAAAUUGGUACCGUAACUUCGGGAUAAGGUACGCCCUUGUAGUUUGACUGGCCUGCGCCAGAAGGACGAAGGGGUUGCAAUAAAUUGGUGGCUGCGACUGUUUAAUAAAAACACAGCACUCUGCAAACACGAAAGUGGACGUAUAGGGUGUGACUCCUGCCCGGUGCUGGAAGAUUAAAUGAUGGGGUGCAAGCUCUUGAUUGAAGUCCCAGUAAACGGCGGCCGUAACAAUAACGGUCCUAAGGUAGCGAAAUUCCUUGUCGGGUAAGUUCCGACCUGCACGAAUGGAGUAACGAUGGCCACACUGUCUCCUCCCGAGACUCAGCGAAGUUGAAAUGUUUGUGAUGAUGCAAUCUACCCGCGGCUAGACGGAAAGACCCCAUGAACCUUUACUGUAGCUUUGCAUUGGACUUUGAACCAAUCUGUGUAGGAUAGGUGGGAGGCUUUGAAGCGGGGACGCCAGUUCUCGUGGAGCCAACCUUGAAAUACCACCCUGGUUUGUUUGAGGUUCUAACCUUGGUCCGUUAUCCGGAUCGGGGACAGUGCAUGGUAGGCAGUUUGACUGGGGCGGUCUCCUCCCAAAGUGUAACGGAGGAGUUCGAAGGUACGCUAAUUACGGUCGGACAUCGUGAUGAUAGUGCAAUGGCAUAAGCGUGCUUAACUGCGAGACUGACAAGUCGAGCAGGUACGAAAGUAGGACAUAGUGAUCCGGUGGUUCUGUAUGGAAGGGCCAUCGCUCAACGGAUAAAAGGUACUCUGGGGAUAACAGGCUGAUUCCUCCCAAGAGUUCAUAUCGACGGGGGAGUUUGGCACCUCGAUGUCGGCUCAUCACAUCCUGGGGCUGUAGCCGGUCCCAAGGGUAUGGCUGUUCGCCAUUUAAAGUGGUACGUGAGCUGGGUUUAAAACGUCGUGAGACAGUUUGGUCCCUAUCUGCCGUGGGCGUUGGAAAUUUGAAGGGGGCUGCUCCUAGUACGAGAGGACCGGAGUGGACGAACCUCUGGUGUACCGGUUGUCACGCCAGUGGCAUUGCCGGGUAGCUAAGUUCGGAAGAGAUAACCGCUGAAAGCAUCUAAGCGGGAAACUUGCCUUGAGAUGAGAUUUCCCGGAGCUUUAAGCUCCUUAAAGGGUCGUUCGAGACCAGGACGUUGAUAGGCUGGGUGUGGAAGCG
rnacentral:rRNA from 1 species